rnacentral:rRNA from 1 species
AUGAACUCUGGCGGCGUGCCUAAUACAUGCAAGUCGAGCGAACAGACGAGGAGCUUGCUCCUCUGACGUUAGCGGCGGACGGGUGAGUAACACGUGGAUAACCUACCUAUAAGACUGGGAUAACUUCGGGAAACCGGAGCUAAUACCGGAUAAUGUAUUGAACCGCAUGGUUCAAUAGUGAAAGACGGUUUUGCUGUCACUUAUAGAUGGAUCCGCGCCGCAUUAGCUAGUUGGUAAGGUAACGGCUUACCAAGGCAACGAUGCGUAGCCGACCUGAGAGGGUGAUCGGCCACACUGGAACUGAGACACGGUCCAGACUCCUACGGGAGGCAGCAGUAGGGAAUCUUCCGCAAUGGGCGAAAGCCUGACGGAGCAACGCCGCGUGAGUGAUGAAGGUCUUCGGAUCGUAAAACUCUGUUAUUAGGGAAGAACAAAUGUGUAAGUAACUAUGCACGUCUUGACGGUACCUAAUCAGAAAGCCACGGCUAACUACGUG